rnacentral:rRNA from 1 species
CAGCGCCGCGGGAAUACAGAGGGUGCGAGCGUUAAUCGGAUUUACUGGGCGUAAAGCGUGCGUAGGCGGCUUCUUAAGUCGGAUGUGAAAUCCCUGAGCUUAACUUAGGAAUUGCAUUCGAUACUGGGAAGCUAGAGUAUGGGAGAGGAUGGUAGAAUUCCAGGUGUAGCGGUGAAAUGCGUAGAGAUCUGGAGGAAUACCGAUGGCGAAGGCAGCCAUCUGGCCUAAUACUGACGCUGAGGUACGAAAGCAUGGGGAGCAAACAGGAUUAGAUACCCCCGUAGUCCCUGUCUCUUAUACA